GAUUUCUGACGAACCGGAGUGGCCCGUAUCCUUUCGGAUAUGAGUGCCGCUUUGAGUUUGUCAUCCUUCCAGAGAGCUGCGUCUACCGUUUACUCGGCCGGACGUAUGCGAUCUGGAUCUAUUACUUUGAAAAAAUUAGAGUGUUUAAAGCAGGCUUACGCUAUGAAUACAUUAGCAUGGAAUAAUAAUAUAGGACUUUGAUUCUAUUUUGUUGGUUUCUAGGAUUGAAGUAAUGAUUGAUAGGGAUAGUUGGGGGUGCUAGUAUUCCGCGGCCAGAGGUGAAAUUCUUGGAUUCGCGGAAGACUAACUACUGCGAAAGCAUU
rnacentral:rRNA from 1 species